CGGAGGGAGCGAGCGUUGUCCGAAGUUACUGGGCGUAAAGCGCGCGUAGCGGGGAUUAAGUGAGAAGUGAAAGGCUGGGGCUUAACCCCAUGCAGUGCUUCUCAUACUGGUUCUCUUGAGGGUGGUAGAGAGAAGUGGAAUGGCUGGUGUAGCGGUGAAAUGCGUAGAUAUCAGUCAGAACACCAAUUGCGAAGGCAGCUUACUAUGGUUGGAUUGACACUGAGGCACGAAAGCGUGGGGAUCAAACAGGAUUAGAUACCCUGGUAGUCCACGCCCUAAACGAUGAAUACUCGAUGUUGGCGAUAUACGGUCAGCGUCUAAGCGAAAGCGUUAAGUAUUCCACCUGGGGAGUACGCCCGCAAGGGUG
rnacentral:rRNA from 1 species